AUAUUCGCAAACUACAAAGAGGCGCAUGCAAAUAGAUACUGUACUGAGGGCAGAUACACGCGCGAGAUCCAGAGGCUCCCAGGCAGCUGUGAUGGUGGGGAGGCAGCUGCACAGUGAUGGCAGUGGCUGCCAGGCAGUCCCCCACAACCCUGAGAAAGGAAAAUUCUGCUCUCUGAAUCUGUAGAAAGAGGAGGAUGAGAGCGAGGGGCAGGAGGAAGAUGUGGAGAAGGAGAAAGAUGAAAGAAGAAGCCUUCAUAAAUACUGUAUGUGGCCCAUAAACCCUGAAGUAUUUAACAUCUGGUCCUUUACAGAAAACCUUUGCCAACCCCUGGUCCAAAGAAAUGGAAACACCUUGAUAGGAACAAUUUCAUAUGUUUUCUGUUUCUUUCUAGUGUUUUAAAUUCAUGUCACAAGGGAGCACCUAAUAAGGACCUGACUCACAGUGGACAUUAAAACAGUGAUUAUGUGAACUAAUUGGUGGAUAAAUCGUUGGCUCUCUGCUUCAAGCACAGCAAAACAAGUCAGCUUCUUGGAUAUCUUUUAUGGGAGAUAAUAUGGCUAUCCAAAUGUUCACCAAUCCCUCACUUAUGCCUUGUGCCCACUCAUGGGAGACAUAUAAUCUCAUGCCCCAGUGAUGUUGGGCUUUGACAUGUGACUUGCUUUGGCCAAGAGAAUGUAAUCAGAGAUAACAUAUGCCACAUUUUAUUAGAAGCUGUGAGAGAUAUUUUACAUUUCUAUCAGUCACCUUUAAUUUCUGCCCUCUGGAAUUUUAAAAGUAUGUUGUAGUUGUGGCUAAUAUUUCCACUUGGAUACUGCAAUAAGAAAACACAAAGAGACAGGCCAAGCACAAUAAGACCAACCAACCAAAUCCAGAAAUGCUCAGCCAAACUGAAGCUGACCCUCGGCAUUCAUGUGAUGGGUGAGAACUACAAGGUGUAAGCCUUUGAGAUUUUGUGGUUCUCUGGCUGAAAGAAAAGUUGAUUGAUAUCCUUCUAUAAAACAAAAGAUUCAGAAGGAUCUAAUGGAUUAGGUUUUAGUAUAUUAUUGCAAAUCAUAAUGAAUUCUUAGAUACAUAUUUUUUAACCAUAAUAGGAAGAAUAGCUAUUUAUACAACUCAUAUUUACAAGAUGAUUUCAUAUUUUUAGUUCAUUUUCUGCUGUGUAGAAAUGUAAUGGUUAUAAUAUGGUGCCCUUUCAUGCUCAUCAAGCACUCUUUUAUCUCACUAAUGAAGGGCAAAAGUGAUGGACAUAUGUUGUUACUAGAAUAAAAGGCCACCUUACACUCAAGAAAAUUAAUGUAUUACUGUGAUAACUUUGUUCUCUAUUAAAAAUGAAUCAUUCUUGAAUCAGAAUUUCUUUACUUUGGAAGUUAGUAUUUCACCCUUAUAUCAAUUUAACUUUGUAGAAAUAUGACUAGAAAUUAAAUGGCAUAAAAACUGAGAAACAAAUUUAUACAGAAAAGAUUUACAAUUUAUAAUGAGUUGUGCCAAGUAGGAAAUAUUUUAACCUCAUAAGGAUAAGUGUGAAAUCAAGAAAUUUGUAGUCAAAGGUGGUUCAUCCUAUAAAAAUAAAAAUAUAUAGGAGAAUACUGAUGAGAAAAGAAAAUUAAAAUAUCCAGAAAUUUUCAUGUAGCUUAUUUGAAGUCACAAAAUGUGACAAAAAUACCAUAAAAUAAAAUGUGUAAUUCAGGGCUCCAGAAAUGGCCAUGGUGCUGAUAGUUGACAGCUGUUGUUUUUGCCUUCCCAGCACUCUCCCACUUUUUAAUGUUAAGAGAAUUCUAAUUCUGUUUUGGGAAACAUCCUCUCCUCUUUCACUUCAGUAGCCCUAGUGCUAUAGUGUCAUUCCUCUUUUAAAUGUGGGCAAUGUGAGCCCAAUAAAUCAUAGUCUCAUAUGACCCUCACCACAGGCAUUUCUUUAGGACUGGCAUCUGAGCCAAGAGAGGAUACUCAGAGCAGACAGGAAUCUGAGGAGUGAAAGAAACUUUCUUCAGCUAUUAAAGUUGAGAGAAGAUAGCAGUAAGAUGGGAGCAGCCGGUGUACAUCUAGUCAGCAGAAAUGGCAAGCCAGCCUGAGAACUCCACUAACACAAAGGAAAGCAAAGCUCAGAGAAGGCAAGGGACAGACCAAGUUCUGAUGAUGCCAUAUAAUCCCACACCCUCCCAAACAGGAUACACCUGAUUUUUUAACCUUGUUUUCCUUUCUCUUGCAAUUUCAAUCCCUGAUAGAUACAGUGCUCCUGGGGGUGGUUGAGGCAUUUGAAGAUGAAUAUUUUACAAUUAGACUUUCCCUUCACGUCUGUAUUUCAGUAAACCCAUAAAUAACAUAUUUCAGAAGUGGUUGGAUUCUUGUGAUGUUUCUCAAUUUAAGUUUCAUUUUUGCAACCAUGUCCUCUAGAGGAAUUCCAGCAAAUGGCUGGCAGUGAAGUUUGGCAUGCAAACAUAUGAGGACUGUAUCUGAAAAUCUCCUUUGAAUAUUGAUUCAUCAGAUGAUUAAUCUCUAAUUUUUUAAUUAAAAAAAGCAGGCUAUAUUAUUAGUACAAAAAGAGUUUUUUUCAUUUUGUAAAUUUUUAUUUUGGGAAAAAAGUCAAACCUACAGAAAAGUUGGAGGAAUUUUACUACAGGCACAAUGCAACUUGUACCUAGAGAAAUUUAGACAUUAAAUUUUUCCCAAAAUUAUUUUCUUUCUCUAAAUACAUAUGCUUUUUUUUCUUUUGCUGAACAAUUUGAAAAUAAUUUGUAGGCAUUUCAUAACUUACCUGACAAAUAUGUUAGCAGGACUCUCCUAAGAAUAAAAACAUUCUUCUCUAUAACUUCUAUACCAAUGUUGCAUCUAAGAAAAUUAACUCUAAUUUUAAAAUAUCACCUAAUAUACUGUCCAUCUUCAAAAUUCCCUAAUUGUUCUAAAAUUGUCUUUUAGGAUCUUUUUGUAAAACUCCAGGAUCCAAUUGUGGUGUGUAAAUUGAAUUUGGUUAUGUCUCUUUAGUUUCUUUUAAUGUUGAACUGUCCCUUAUAUUUUUUCUCGUUAUAUUGAAUUGUUGACCAUUCUAGGCCUCUGGUCUUUUACAAUGUGUUCCUUUCUUGUUUUUUCUUAUGUAAAUUCAGUUUAAUAAUUUUGGCAAGAAUAGUACACAGUUGCUAUGUAUAUUUCUUGUUGUUUCACAUUAAGAACAUUAUAUCAAGUUGUCCUACCAUUGAUGAUUCAAAGUUUGGCUGCUAAAUCUCCGAAUUAUAAAGAAAAAUUCUUUUCUAUUAGUAAUUAAUAUUAUACUUGUGUGAUAUCUUGAAUAGGUAGGAAAGUCCAGUUUUCCAACAAUCCCCCACACAAUGGUUUUAGCAUUUGUUGAUAACGCUCAGAGAAGGCAAGGGACUGAACAAGUUCUGAUGAUGUGUUUUCGUUUUCGUUUGAAUAAAGUUCAUUUUUAGAAUUCAAUCAUUUUUUCCAUAUUUGUUAGAUGUCCUUUAUCUAUAAAGAUAAAGAAGACGUUACUUCCAUUCCUGCAUCUUCAUCAUACUCACACACAUAAUUAACCUUUUUCAUUAUUUUCUGUUUAUCUUUUCUGUGUGUGUGAUGUAUUACAUAUUAUACAUUUUAAAUAAUAUAUAAUAGAGAACAUUUAUUUGUACACAUACACACACACACAAAUUUCUUUUAUGCUCAUUCACAAAGAUACCACAGUAUGUACACUUUUUUGAGGCUUUUUUUUCACUUAACCAUGUAUCUUGGAAAUACUCCAUAUAAGUUAAUAGCUAGUUAUCUUUUUAUUGUUCUGUAAAUUAUUUAAUCUGUCUUCUAUAGAUGGGCAUUUCGUUUUUAUCCAAUAUUUUCUAUUUUAAUUAAUGCUGCAGUGAAUAAACUUUUGCAUAUAUUGUUUUGUUAUUUGCAGGAAGGUAUAUACAAGCAAAGUCUUAGAAAGAGGAUUUCUGGAUCAAAGUGUAAAUGCAUCGGCAGCUUUGUUAGAUAUUGCCACAUUGUGUUCAACAAGGGUUUUACCAUCAACAGUUAUGAGUGUCUGUUUUCCCAAAGCCUAGCCAAUAGUAUGUGUUUUCAAGGCACUGAUUUUCUGCUAAUCUGGUAGGUAAGAAAUAGCAUAAUGGUGUAGUUUUAAUUUGCAUUCCUAUUAUUGUCAGUGAGUUAGAGUGCCUUUUCAUAUGUUCAAGGACCAUUUUUAUAUACUUUCUCUAAACUCUUCAUUUUUCAUUUUCCCAUGUUAUUUUCACUUUAUUUUCAAUAACUCUUUUUAAAUGAAAGAUAUUAGCAUUUUAUUUUCUGUGAUGUAAGUUGCAAAUAUUUUUGUCCAGCCUGUCUUUCAAUUUUUCUGUUUUAGCAUGCAUUUUAAAAUUUUUAAUGAAGUUGAAUUUAUAAUUUUUAUAUAGCUACUUGAUAGUGAAUCAUAAUUAGAAAUGUCUCCACACACAUUAUAAAGAAAGCCAAGCAUGUUCCCGUUUAGACUGUUGAUCCAAGUAGAGUGUUUUCACGUUCUACUAGAUCAAUAAUGGAUCCAAUUUUUUUCUUUUCUAAAUGUCUAUCCAGUUUUCCAAACACUAUGUUUUAAAAAGACUAUAUUUUUUCCAGUAGCCUAAGAUACCAUAUAUAAUAUUUACUAAAUCUUCAUUUGUACUUAGGUCUAUUCUGAGCUUUCCAUACAAUUUUGUUAAUCUAUUAAUAUAUUCUUGAAUCUGUAUCAUGCCAUUUUGAUUAUAGAGACUCUAUAGUAUACUUUUUAAAAAUAGACUUUAUUUUUUAGGCCAGAUUAAGGUUCACAGCAGAAGUUACAGAGCUUUCCCAAAUACUCCCUACACCGACAGAUGCACAGCCUCCCUCAUUAUCAACAUCCCCCAUCAGA
ensembl:lncRNA novel transcript